rnacentral:rRNA from 1 species
GAUGAACGCUGGCGGCGUGCCUAAUACAUGCAAGUCGAGCGAACAGACGAGGAGCUUGCUCCUCUGACGUUAGCGGCGGACGGGUGAGUAACACGUGGAUAACCUACCUAUAAGACUGGGAUAACUUCGGGAAACCGGAGCUAAUACCGGAUAAUAUAUUGAACCGCAUGGUUCAAUAGUGAAAGACGGUUUUGCUGUCACUUAUACAUGGAUCCGCGCCGCAUUAGCUAGUUGGUACGGUAACGGCUUACCAAGGCGACGAUGCGUAGCCGACCUGAGAGGGUGAUCGGCCACACUGGAACUGAGACACGGUCCAGACUCCUACGGGAGGCAGCAGUAGGGAAUCUUCCGCAAUGGGCGAAAGCCUGACGGAGCAACGCCGCGUGAGUGAUGAAGGUCUUCGGAUCGUAAAACUCUGUUAUUAGGGAAGAACAAAUGUGUACGUAACUAUGCACGUCUUGACGGUACCUAAUCAGAAAGCCACGGCUAACUACGUG